CUCCAGACGACCCCCAACACUAUGGUGAGGACCGUGGGGCGGAGCUCCAAGGCACCAGGCUAGGGAGAGGCUGCUGAUGUGGGUGUGGAGAGUUAAAGGGGACUUAGGGUCAACGGUCUAGGGGGAAAAGAGCCCCCACACGCACUUCCCAUCAUGGUCUCCCUCAGUGAUGUAGCUCACUUAGCUACAUUGGCCUGUGUUCCCUGGGGCAACUCCUGAGCUCCAAGCCCUAGCUGGACAAAGUUUCUUGUCUCCCAUAAACGAGUGGACCUCUCCCUGAGGGUAGGAGGCAUAUGCAGAGAUAGAAACUGAGGAAAGAGAGACCUAGUAGGGGUCUGUGCAGAGGAUCCCAGAUCCCCUUAGGGGACCUUUGUACCUAGCCACACCACGAGCUUGACUGCCCCUCAGGAAAACAACCAAAACCCUUGGUGGUCCCAAGAAUAGGAUGGUGUCUCCCUCUACUGGAUAUCAUAGGAACUACAAGCAUCGGAGAACGGAGGGGCCGGAGGCUUGGGUCUCUGUGCUUCCUGGGUGCAAGCCCAGAUGCUAGAAGGAUCAGGGUACAGAGCACAGAAGUGUUCGGCAACUCUCCCAGGGGCACACAGAAAGUGGUGGAGCUGGGUUCUCAUCAAGGCAGCUUGGCUUUGGGAUCUGGGUUUUCCUCAACGCUGCACAGGCAAGUGGAGACAUUCCUUACCUUGAAGGAGAAUGGAAUGAAGUGCAAUCCCAGGACUUGGGAUAGGCUGAGCCAGGAGGAUAUAAGAUCAAGGCAAGUCUGACCUGCAUAGUUUGGGACCCUGCCAAAAAAGAAAAAAGAAAAAGAAAAAAAGACAAGAGCAGAGCCGGUCCUAGCAAUGUGGACAUGCAAUCUCCGCUACACUGGAGGUUGAGGAGAGAGCAUGGGAAGUUCAUGCCCAGCAGGGACCACUUAGCAAGUCUGGUCUCAAAAUAGAAAAAAAA